UACGUAGGGUGCAAGCGUUAAUCGGAAUUACUGGGAGUAAAGCGUGCGCAGGCGGCUUUGCAAGACAGGUGUGAAAUCCCCGGGCUUAACCUGGGAACUGCACUUGUGACUGCAUGGCUGGAGUGCGGCAGAGGGGGAUGGAAUUCCGCGUGUAGCAGUGAAAUGCGUAGAUAUGCGGAGGAACACCGAUGGCGAAGGCAAUCCCCUGGGCCUGCACUGACGCUCAUGCACGAAAGCGUGGGGAGCAAACAGG
rnacentral:rRNA from 1 species